rnacentral:rRNA from 1 species
CAGUCGCCGCGGGAAUACGGAGGGCGCGAGCGUUACCCGGAUUUACUGGGCGUAAAGGGCGUGUAGGCGGCCUGGGGCGUCCCAUGUGAAAGGCCACGGCUCAACCGUGGAGGAGCGUGGGAUACGCUCAGGCUAGAGGGUGGGAGAGGGUGGUGGAAUUCCCGGAGUAGCGGUGAAAUGCGCAGAUACCGGGAGGAACGCCGAUGGCGAAGGCAGCCACCUGGUCCACUUCUGACGCUGAGGCGCGAAAGCGUGGGGAGCAAACCGGAUUAGAGACCCCAGUAGUCCCUGUCUCUUAUAC